rnacentral:lncRNA from 1 species
GGCAGGUGGAGGGAAGGAAGGGCAUUGCUCAGAAAGGAAAAAAAAAAAAUUGACAUCACUGAAGUCACGUGAUCGGCAAGAACCAAUUGAGAUGGGCUGUGGAAAGGGGAACAGUUAAAUUUGUAAUUUGGGUUGUGUGAAAACUUCUUUGGGCCUCAUAAACAACCACAGAACCACAAGUUGGGUAGCCUGGCAGUGUCAGAAGUCUGAACCCAGCACAGUGGUCAGCAGGCAGGACGAAUCACACUGAAUGCAAACCACAGGGUUUCGCAGCGUGGUAAAAGAAAUCAUUGAGUCCCCCGCCUUCAGAAGAGGGUGCAUUUUCAGGAGGAAGCGAUGGCUUCAGACAGCAUAUUUGAGUCAUUUCCUUCAUACCCACAGUGCUUCAUGAGAGGUGAGUACAUGCUGGUCUUGUAAUACCUCCUUUUGC